ACGGGAGGCAGCAGUGGGGAAUAUUGCACAAUGGGCGAAAGCCUGAUGCAGCGACGCCGCGUGAGUGAAGAAGUAUUUCGGUAUGUAAAGCUCUAUCAGCAGGGAAGAAAAAAUCAAAAUUGACUGUACCUGACUAAGAAGCCCCGGCUAACUACGUGCCAGCAGCCGCGGUAAUACGUAGGGGGCGAGCGUUGUCCGGAAUGACUGGGCGUAAAGGGCGUGUAGGCGGCCGAUUAAGUGUGGAGUGAAAGUCCUGCUUUCAAGGUGGGAAUUGCUUUGCAGACUGGUUGGCUUGAGUGCGGAAGAGGUAAGUGGAAUUCCCAGUGUAGCGGUGAAAUGCGUAGAGAUUGGGAGGAACACCAGUGGCGAAGGCGACUUACUGGGCCGUAACUGACGCUGAGGCGCGAAAGCGUGGGGAGCGAACAGGAUUAGAUACCCUGGUA
rnacentral:rRNA from 1 species